AUAUAUUGAAUUUCAUAUAUCAUAUAAGUACCACUGCUAUGUAACGUGGCUAAAUUACAUGACUAGUAAGUUACAGAGCGAAAUGACCAAAAAUUUUUAGAGGUGGUUAACUACCGUUGGCAUAUAAUUAAAAAAUCGGCUAAACAUAUCAAAUGUUGCGGUAAUCUUUUAUCAUCUUCACUUACGAUACCAUCAUGAUUGAUUUUAAUUUUUGAAGAUAUAAUAUGACUCUAAGUUACAUUAAUUUGAUAAGGUCCAUUUCUAACACAAUCUAACUUUAUUAAAAAAAAAUUAAAUAAGGCAAAAUUAUUAUUAAUAUCGAUGACAGUCACAGUUAUUUUACAACUAUUUCAAAUAGUAUUUGAACUUCGUCAUUCAAGAAUGAAAACUAAUUUAAUUUGACCUUUGUGUAAAUAAAAAGACAAACCAUCUAACACAAAUGAUUCAUUUUUUUCUUAUUAUUUUGCAGGGUUUGAAUCAUUAUCAAUAGACUCGAAAGAGAAGAAAUUGACAGUAUCUGGGGAUAUUGAUCCAGUAAAGGUAGUGUGCAAGCUAAGAAAGUUGUGUCAAACUGAAAUAGUAUCGAUUGGACCUCUAAAAGAUGAGAAGAAGGAUUCAACAAAUACAAAUGAAGUUAUUCCACUUCAACACUUUGGAACCUAUCCAUUUUAUUAUCAGAUGACCCCACCACAAUAUUUUCAAAAUUACUACUACGUUUGAUGUGCAUAAUAAGAAAAGAAUCUUUUAUUGAGUUUGAUAAAAUACAUCUUGUGUUUUCCUUGAAUUUUAUUUUUACUUUAUAUGACCUAGAAUUGGAUUAUGCUUGUCUUCCUUCCAAAUCAUGCAAACAGAUCACUAAGAAAUUAAGCGUCACCACCAACCAUUUCUUAUUACAAGAAACAUCAUAAAUAUAUUAAUAAGAUAAAAUAUAUGUAGUGUUUGAAACAUGUAAGUCCAAGCGGUGCUUCAAUUUGUUACUAAUGAGUAACUUGGUCAAUACAUCAACUAUAUUUUCUAAAGUAUGAACUUUUUCAUGUAAUAUCUAUCAAGGUGUAAGUAAAUCUCUAAUGUGUGAUACCUCACAUCAAUAUGUUUGGUUUGGGUAUCCAUACACCUCAAUGUUUGCCAAAUAAAUGGCACAUUGACUAUCACAUUACAAUCAAACUCCACAUUGUUUAACACCCAAUUUUCUCGCCCUUUGCAUCGCUUGUCUCUAUAUAUAAGUUAUACUCAACAUAAAUGAUAAACAAUUUACAACUAGUAUAAUGACCCGUGCCAGCACGGGAAGUAAAAAACUUUUUUGAUCAUAUGUAUAGAUUUUAUAUUAUGUUAUCUUAAAGUUAUAAUUGUCGUUAUAAUUUAAAUUCGAUAUGAAAAAAAUAUCAUCUUAAUUUUGUAUAUAUUUUGAAAUAUCUAAACUUUGCAUAUAUCGAUUAAAUUAUUUGGAUUAUUAUACUUGUACUAAUUAUUUGUAGUAUAAGAUGCACUCAUUGUUAUACUUAGCAUAUGUAAUAUUUUUGCAAAAAUAUGCCGACGUACUGUAUAAUAAUAUUUGUUGACAAAAUGUAUUUUAUUAAUCAUAAAAACUAAAAAAUAUGUAUUUUUUUAUAUAUAAUAGUCAGUAUCAUAUGCAUACACGUAGUCGGCAAAUGCAAAUGUUUAAUUUUUUUACGGGUGUGCAUAAAUAUAGUUUGGGCUACAGAAACGCCGAUUGUUAUUUGUUUUUCAUUUUUACAAAACAAAUGGUCUAAUGUAAAUAUUGUAUUUUAGCGUAACAACGAUGUAAAAAAAAAAGGUUCCGCGGAUUGUUAAACUUGAAAAAUGCAUGAAUUAAUAGUCAAUGGCAGGAGGAUCUGCUUAUAUAGAAAUUGCAUGUCUAUAAUGACUUGUACGCCUUACAAAGAAAUUAAAAAUAAAACGACUUCCAAAUAAUAGGCAACUUUAGUUUUCUAAAUUAUAGCAACAACAAUUCUAAAACAUAACCAAUGAUCAUACUUUUUGAAAAACUUCACGAUACACAACAUUUUUGGUCUCCUUACAAACAUUAUUAUCUUCAUCCAGGAUGAGCAGCUUCAGACCUUUUCUUGAAGUUACUCGAGAGACAGCGACAUAAAGUUGUCCAUGCGUGAACACAGACUUAAGAAGAUAAACCCCCACUCGAGAUAAAGAUUGACUCUGGCUUUUAUUUAUUGUCAUUGCAAAACAAAGCGUCAAUGGAAAUUGCUUGCGCCUGAAUUUUAAGGGUAGUCCUGGAUCAUUCAGAAUAAGAUUCAUCUUGGGAAUGAAUACCCUGGUGCCUUCCCUUUUUCCUGUAAUUACAGUAGCAGCUAUCGUGCUCUUCCCUAGAUGUGUAACUGUCAGCCUCGUACCAUUACACAGUCCAUUGACCUGAUCGAUGUUUCUCAUCAACAUAACUGGACAUCCCACCCUUAGUUUCAACCGGUGAUUUGGAAUUCUAGAGCUCUUAAUACCAUUAAGAAAUUCCGUUGUGAACCACUCGCUCUGGACAUCAGACUUUUUCACCCAAUCGACAAAUUGAAUCAGAGCUUAAAUACUCUUUCUCUUCACCUGGAAUCACUGACAUCAUAUAUUCGUUAACAUGCUCAACCGAAUCAAGCGUUGGUGCGAGUAUUCCCUUUUCUUGGAAAAAAGAGCGGGUCACCAAUGUUAUCAUUCAAAUCGGGAUAUACAAAGUCUAUGAGUGACAUCAACGGAUUUGUUGUGUCGGAUAUGAGCAAAUCUUCGGGAAUUUCUACAUUCAUUUCACCAUUCUCAUCGUUGUCCUCUCCAAUUGAGGGUAUCCACUUGCCAAAAUUAUCAGUUUCUUCCUUCUCUGCAGGUCCCGAAGAUGCACCCAAUCUCAUAUUAACAGUAAGCCUCAACACAUUACAAUAAGUCCAUAUCUUUGAUGAAUUGAUUGAGGCAUCAACAAUAUCCUGCCUCGUUCCUUUUCGGACAACAGACAAUAUAUGCCUGAAAUCACCACUUAAAACUACUGUCAUUCCACCAAAAGGUCUAAACUCGUAUAGGGGAUCAUUCUUGGAUAUGAUAUCAUGCAUUGAUUGGUCAACUGCCUCAAAACACCAUCGGUGCAUCAUUGGAGCCUCAUCCCAAAUUAUCAACUUUGAAGCAUGCACCAGGUCUGCCUAGGACUAUCCUUUUCCAUCUUAAGCGAUGAUGCCUCAUUAAUCUCAACAGGGACUGUUAGCGUCGAGUGCACGGUUCUUCCACCUGGUAAUAGAAGAGUCGAUAUACCGCUGGAUGCAACAUUCAAUACAAUUAACCCCUUCGAUCUAACAGCAACUGACAAUGUUUUCCAUAUAAAGAUUUUUCCAGUACCACUGUAACCAUAUAUGAAAAAGAAACCAUCGUCGUCAAAAUCAACAGACUCCAUGAUCUUGUCAUGCACACAUCUUUGUUCAUCAGCUAUCAUCAGUAACAUAUCAGCGUGUGUCUUUUCCCGUUUAUCUUUGUUGUAAUUUAGCUCAUCAACGAUAAUCUUUUUUUUGAACGUUGGCAUGUCUUCUGUGUUUGCCAUGGGCAUAGAUUUGAAGUCAGUAAGCGACCGUCCAUUUUCCUGAAGCAGCAUUUCAAUUUCAAUCAAACACAUGUUCUUCAAGUCAUCGUCACCGAUACGCAGAUCUGCAUAUUAAAUGUAAAGUCACGAAAUUAAUAUUAACACCUUUGCAUGCAUAUGUGUGCACGUUGAAGAGAAACAAAAAAUAUUAGCUUUAUAUGAGAGUCCUUUAUAUUUAAACAUAUCAGCCUAAAAAAUGUGGAAAAUGCUGAAUGGUAUCGUGGAGUUAGUAACUCUUAGUUUGUUCUUUACUAUAUCCUAAAAAAAGUACCUCUUAACUACUUAAACUACUCUAAUCACCCUUUACUAUAUCCUUAAAAACACACCCCUCGAAAACAACCUUGACAUCAAGGUUGGAAUGUGCUAAAUUUCUUAAUGUGUAAUAGUCUUCAAAUGUAUCACCCUUAUCCCUAAUUUUUAAUAGUGAAGUAUUGUUUUGAUUCUCACUUUAAUUUGAAUCUUUGGUUCCACCAAGAUUCUUUACUCCUAGCUAGGUCCAAAACCUAUUAAUUCUUCUAGUGUCUCUUUUGCUACUUUUAUAAUCUCAUAUGUCAUUUUGUUCCACGUAUCAUUUUUACUUCUAUGUAGCUUCACAGAACCUUCCUUCAAAAUCUUUUGUAGGAAAACACUUUGGUUUUGAUCCUUUAAAUGUCACCAGUUGAUCCUUGUAUACCAAUCGUGCCUCUCAUCUCUGCUCUUAUCUUAACCCUUACAUCGAUAACCAAUACUAUAUGUUGGAUAGUCAAACUCUCUUCAUGUAAAACUUUAAAUUCAAACAAAUAUUUUUGUCAUAAUGUCUAAUAAGAAAUAAAUCUAUUUGAGAACAUGAAAUCCCACUCUUGUUUGUAAUAAAUUUCCUUUUUAUUUUCCUAAAGUAAGAUUAAAAGACAACAAAAAAUCUAGGAUGUAUUUACCCUAUGUAUUUAUGUCCCCGAGGCUAUACCCUCAUUCACACCUUUAAAACUUAUCAAACACUCCUUACAUGCCCACUUAGAUCCCCUCCUAUAAAAACAUUUUCUCCUUGUGGUAUAUCUUGAAUUAAACCUUUUAAAUCCUUCCAAAAUUUAACAUUAGAAUAUUUUUCCAAACCUACCUAAGGUGAGUAAACACUCAUAACAUUAAAGAUGUCUUGUUUCCUUUUAAAAAAAUAAAAUAAAUAAAGAUGUCUUACUAAACUAAAAAUUUGUGGGAUACAAUCAAAUCUCACAUCCUCUUUACAUCCACAAUAUCCUUUUUCAAUUCUUUAUCCACAAUAAUGCCUACACUAUUUCUCGAUCUAACUUUUCCAGUUUAUCAAUGCUUAAACCUUGAACUAUCUAAUUCUUUCGCCUUUUCACCUACCCACAUAGUUUCUUGUUGGCACAUAAAAUUAAUCUUCAUUUUAGUCAUAGCGUCAAUUAUUUCCAUAUAUGUUCAAGUAGGGGUGCCUUUAUUCCAUGUUCUAAAACGGAUCAUACUCUCAUUAACUAACUUAUGUACCCACACUCGUUCAUAAAGAUGUGGAAACCCUUGCAUAUUUUUUAUUGUAUUCAGGCAGCGAUGUAUCCAUCCUUGAUCAUUUAACAUUGUAUUUGAGCUAUACAACACGUUUCUUCUACGCAUUGACCCAGUGUCACACUAUUAUAUACUCGGUCCAUGUCAUAGAGAUUGAAAGUGUUUCUAUUAAAUUCAAGUGUUCAAAUUUUAAUUAGUAGAAUCUAGUCCAAGUAAUUAGUAGAAUCUAGUCCAAGUUUUUAAAUUUUUAUAAUAUAGAAUGUCGUUUAAUUAUAUAUAUUUUUGAGAUUUUUUUUAAAAAGUUACGUGUAAUUAUUUAUUGAUCCAACCUAAUGAAACUUGAUUGCAUCGGGUAAUAAAUUACAAUGAAAACCGACCCAUCCCGUGAUCACCUGUAGGCGUGGAUGCUGAAACAUGUUUGCUUAAUUUUUUUUUUAAAUAGGUAUCAUCAUCCAUAAUUAAUUUUUUUUAUACCCAUGACGAUCAUAAAUUUGUUUAAAUUUAAUUUUUUUAUUGAAUGAUUUUUCUUACAAACGACGAAAGAAUUAGAUGAUUGUAUUUUCUAUGUUAGUGGUCAUUUACUAUUAAUUGAUUUUAUUUCCCUCAUCAAUGGAACUCUCUUUAGUUCAUUAAAAAACAAUGACAUGUUGAAAGUGCUUAUCCCACUUUUACUUAAAAAAAGAGGCAAUUUUUAAGGACAAAAAACAUGAAUAUUUUUAUUUUAUUUUUCAGGAGAAGGGGAUGGUUUACAUGGUAUAAUAUGGGUUAGACUACCCGUUGUACUCUCUUUUAUUAUGUAUUAUUUUUCUGAUUACAACUCCAACAUUUAAAUAUCCGAUUGUCAUUCUUUAUCUUUUGAUAAAAUAUCUUUUUAAAUUCUGAUUUAAUGCACAUUAAGAUUAUAGAAAUCAAUACUUUUUUUAAUAAUUUCUAUAAUUAAAACAAUAAAAAUUGAAAUUCCUGUAAAUAAAAAACUAUAAUAUCGAAUAAGUAAACUUAUUUUGAAUAUUUUCUACAACUAAUUAGUUACCUUAUUUUUAACUUCCAUUUAAAAUUUAAAGUUGACCAUAAUUUUUUUCCGUUAAUUUUAAAUUAGCAACCACAUAAUAUCAAAUAAGUUAUUUGUCCCAAAUUUUUUAUUUCAUACUUUGAUUGAUUCUCUUGAUUCUGAGAACAUGCUUGCUUGGUUUGAUUUUUUUUUUUUAAUGAUGGUUCAUUGAUCUAAUGUUUACCAAGAAUAGUAGAAACAUGAAUUGAAGAAAGGGAUGAGGGUCAAGAUUAAAUACAAAUAAGAAAAUGAGACAUACAUAUUCAUUAUUGAGUGAUUUAAAAUAUUCCUUGAAUUUAUUUUUUGUGAUUGUCUUGAUUGAUGCAUUUCAAAUUUUCUACAAUUUGUUUACCUUUAAUGCAAUUAAUUAUUAAUUAAUGAGUUUUAUUUAUUUAUUUUAAACAAAAGAGGAUUUUUAUUUUUUAUUUUUUUAUGAUGGUUUAAAAGUUAUUCAAUGGUGAUUGAUCAUGGAAAACGGAAAACUUGCUAUAUAUUCUUAAAUGAUUUAAAGAAUACCGUGAAUUUUUAAGAUAUCCUUGAUUGCAACAUGUCAAAGUUUCAACAAUUCAUUUAUAGUACAAAUACAUUUCACAAUUUUACAAUAUGAAUUGUUCACAUAACUUAUACUGACCAAUUUUUUUUAACUAAUGUUAGCAUGUAAGAUGUUGUUUGAUUUGUCUCAAUCAAUAUUUUCAAAUAGGAUUAUCAAAGAAUGUAUUUAUUUUUUAAAAAAGAAAAUAGGAUUUUUUUUAUGAUUAUUUUAAGAUUAUUGACCGUUAAAAAUGAUAAAUAUUGCAUUUUUUUUUACAGUAAUUAAUGCAGAUAUAUCUUGCACAUUAAUACAUAUACAAUUCUACAAAUGUAAAAUUUCUUUGUCAGAGUGAAAAAGAUAUAGUACAAAUAUCAUUCUUUUAAGAUUCACCUCGAAGCAAAUCUUUACCUUCAAAGGACAUUAAUGUUAAUAGAAUUGGUCCAUGAACCCAUCCAUGGAUCAUGCAUACUUGAUUCACCUCGAAGCAAACCUUGAGCCCAUUCUUUUUUUUGUUGAACUUAUAGAUAUAGUACAUUUGAUGUACGAUAAUUUAAAACUAUAACGAUGAACAACAAAAAACAUAUGAAUUUGAUUUAUAUAAUUUUUAUAUAUAUAGAGAUUUUAAAUUGUCUUAUUUUUGGUGAUGUUAAUAUUUUUAAAAUUAUAUUUAUACCAAUAAGAUUCAUAAAAUAUAUUUUAAUUUAUUUAACCUUUUUAAAUAUGCUUAAAAUUAUGUUAGUAUAAAAUUUAUUUAAUAUAUACCAAUUUCUCAAAUAAGUUGACUAUCUCGAAAAAUAAAAUAAAAAUAGUUUACAUAUCAUUAAUGCAUUAAAAUCAUAUGAUUCACCUUCCUUUCACCAAUAAAAGUAUAAGACCUUCCUUUCUCCAAUAAAUGUAUAAGAUAUUCUAUUAAUGGUUUUAAAUUAAUUUAAUCAAAAUACUAUGAUUCACAUUACCUUUUAAAAUUAAUAAUGGUUUUGUGUGAAUAUUAAAUAAUUAAGUUUGUUAAUAUCUCAUCAAACUACUAUUUGUAUAGAUCAAUUUUCGUUUUGUAUAUUCGAUUUAUGCUAAGAAAAAAAGCAACAUCGUUGUGUUAGAAAGAAUGAAGACAAUACAAAUAAAAAAAACUAUAAUAGUGGAUGUCCAACUCGAAUUUUUCAUUCGCACCAAUAACCAAAUUUCUAUAAUAUUCAAUAAGAUCCUAUCAAUAUUAGAAUAUUAAGAAGAAAAAAAUCAUGAUAAACAUAUGACAGUUCUUACAACCUAUUUUUGUAUAUGCACAUCAAAGUUGAAAGUACAACAUAAUCAUUAAUCUAUAGAAACACCACUAUUUUGGAAUGUGAAAUAUCAUUUACAACACAAACUGUAUCUCUAAAACUAACUACAUGGAUAGUCGUGCAAAAGAAUAAUCUUCACUUAAAAACUAAUAAAAUUCAUUCAUAUUAAUCAGAGUGUUUAAUCCAAUUUCUUCUGAGUUCACACCAUAUGUUGAUUCUUCCAUUAGAUUCGUCGUUUGAGAUCCACUUCUGCAACAAUUAAAGAUCGGGUGAAUAAAGAUCAAGAUAAAUGAACAUAGAAAAAAUAUAGAGAAGUUCGUUUAAUUGUUUUUCCAAUUGAAAAAAAUAUCAGAAAUCAAACCAUUUUUAAGAAUUAGAUAUAUGAAAAAAAUGAAUAAAAUGAAAGAGCGAUGAAGUUUUUCAAAAUUUUAUCAUGAAUCUCGAAAUUGUGUGAAAAUGUUGAAAUUAAAAAACAAAAUUUAUAGCAAAAAGACGUGAAAUUUGUGAGUUGUAACUCAAAACAUUGUGAAAAUUGCGAGUCUCAAACACAAUAUUUAUAGUCAACAUGUACCAAGCAAUCAAAAAAAUUAUUCCCUUAAUUUAUGGAUGUAGUAAUUUUUAUCAAUACCCAUUUGAAGACAUGUUUUCUCAUUAAAAAUAUGGGAAAUUCUUGCUUACCCAUUAAUAAAAGGUGGGUAACACUACCCAUUCUUUAUAUAUUAUUAAUAAAAAUAAUAGAAAACAAAUAAAUACUUUGAUUGAUGUCAACUUAGGGUUGUGUUACCCACAUUUUAUUGAUGGGUAAGGAAGUUGUCACCAACAAAACAUAUUUUCUCAAUUAUUAAGAACGGGGAUUAAAUAGUUUGCUAAAAAAUUCCAAAGCAUUAUCCGUCCAUUCACCAAACAUGUAAUGCAUAAAUAUAAACUAUUUAAUAUUAUGUAAUCCAUCAAUACCCAUUUCAUUGAGUUUGCACAUAUUUUCUCUUUAAUUUUUGAAGAUAUAAUAUGACUCUAAGUUACAUUAAUUUGAUAAGGUCCAUUUCUAACACAAUCUAACUUUAUUAAAAAAAACUUAAAUAAGGCAAAAUUAUUAUUAAUAACGAUGACAAUCACAGUUAUUUUACAACUAUUUCAGAUAGUAUUUGAAAUUCGUCAUUUAAGAAUGAAACUAAUUUAAUUUGACCUUUGUGUAAAUAAAAAGACAAACCAUCUAACACAAAUGAUUCAUUUUUUUCUUAUUAUUUUGCAGGGGUUGAAUCAUUAUCAAUAGACUCGAAAGAGAAGAAAUUGAUAGUAUCUGGGGAUAUUGAUCCAGUAAAGGUAGUGUGCAAGCUAAGAAAGUUGUGUCAAACUGAAAUAGUAUCGAUUGGACCUCUAAAAGAUGAGAAGAAGGAUUCAACAAAUACAAAUGAAUUUAUUCCACUUCAACACUUUGGAACCUAUCCAUUUUAUUAUCAGAUGACCCCACCACAAUAUUUUCAAAAUUACUACUACGUUUGAUGUGCAUAAUAAGAAAAGAAUCUUUUAUUGAGUUUGAUAAAAUACAUCUUGUGUUUUCCUUGAAUUUUAUUUUUACUUUAUAUGACCUAGAAUUGGAUUAUGCUUGUCUUCCUUCCAAAUCAUGCAAACAGAUCACUAAGAAAUUAAGCGUCACCACCAACCAUUUCUUAUUACAAGAAACAUCAUAAAUAUAUUAAUAAGAUAAAAUAUAUGUAGUGUUUGAAACAUGUAAGUCCAAGCGGUGCUUCAAUUUGUUACUAAUGAGUAACUUGGUCAAUACAUCAACUAUAUUUUCUAAAGUAUGAACUUUUUCAUGUAAUAUCUAUCAAGGUGUAAGUAAAUCUCUAAUGUGUGAUACCUCACAUCAAUAUGUUUGGUUUGGGUAUCCAUACACCUCAAUGUUUGCCAAAUAAAUGGCACAUUGACUAUCACAUUACAAUCAAACUCCACAUUGUUUAACACCCAAUUUUCUCGCCCUUUGCCUCGCUUGUCUCUAUAUAUAAGUUAUACUCAACAUAAAUGAUAAACCAUUUACAAUAUCAUUAAUUAAUUUUAACACAGGAAUUUUUAAAAAAAAAAUCAUUUGAAAAAUAUAAAGCAUGUAUCUAAUUGUGUCAUACAUGUCACACAUCCAUAAUUUAAAUGGACUAAAUAGAGCAUUAGGUAAAUGGAGCAUAGUUAUGGAUGUGUGACAUGUGGCAAAAAAAAAUCUUAGAAUUGAGAUUUAUAAUAAAAAACAAAUAUUUAUUUAAUAAAAAAAAGUAACAAAACAAAAGGUGUCCUUCGGGUCCCCUUCCUCUCAUUGCCAUAAACCUCCACCCGCUGCCGUUCAUCACCGCUGAUUGCCUUAUUAACAACAUCUCCCCACUUCCUCUCAUCGUCGUCAUGUUGCCGUCGUUACAAACAUUGCUGCUGAUGUUAUUGAUUUUCAACUUGGUUUUGCAGCCUUCUCAAAACUACAAUUAUUUCUUGUUUCAAUUAUGAUUUGGUUUCUUUGAUGGUUUUUGUGUUGACAGUUGGAUUAUUUAAGGAGAUAAUCAUCCAACGAAAUAUGUUUCAGCCAAAAAGGACAGAUUGAAGGAAACGGGGAAACAAAUCUUGAAAUGGAGGUAUACGCCGGUUGCGCGGAGACCAUAGUGAGAGGAGAGACACGAUGAAAGGAUAAGGAAACGACAUCGAUUGGUGGCGGCGGUCAUGAAACGAGAGGGCAGGAAGGAACACGUAAAAGAGGAGAGCAUAAAUUUGUUUUUUAUUAUAAAUUUCAACCUUCAGAUCUUUUUUUUGCCACAUGUCACACAUUCAUAGCCUAAGUUGACUAAUAUAGUAACUAGUAGCUAAUUGGGUAAAUGAAAGUGUAACUUGAGUGUGACGUUGAGUAACGCUUAUAUAGCCAAGGAGUUCGAUAACUAACUAUGUAUUACGCGACAUAAAUCCUGAACGCCGUUAGAGAUGACUAUGACUCUAGGAUAUGAUCAUGGCGCGCUACUGUGCGGCAAGGGCCACAAGGCUUCAUGUGCACCUUCACGGUGCUUCUUUUUGAAUAGCAUGGACCUUGGCUUUAUUGGUUCGUUUGCAAUGGGCUUUCUGCUAGUUCGAAAUAAUAACCAUAAAAAUGGGUUGAGAAAGAACGAAGAAAAUUGCUUUUUCGACAAUGAAUACUUUCUAUUGACACAAGUAAAUGACACUUUUACCCCCAGCGGCAGUUAACUGCCGUUAGGCAAUGCGCCGACAGUUAACAACCGCUGGAAGCCAGCGGCAGUUAACUGCCGUUGUGUUCGUGAUAUGAACAAAACAGCAUAGGAGUUUCCAAAACUCAAUUGUUACGUUUUUUGCUUCAAUAGGUGCGAAUUUCACAAACCAUAAGCCAUUCCAAGCCAAUUUCAAGCACAAAAUUAAUUAAGUUUUUCGAAUCCAAUUGCGUUGCUAUUUUGUGAUUGAUUUGAUAGUUUUUUUUGGUUAAAUUGCGAUUAUAGAGGUUUAUUAAUUUUAUGAUGUUAUGAUAGUUUAGGUUGUUUGAAUUGUUAGGUUUAGGUUAGAAUUGUUUAGAUUGUUAGAAUUGUAGAAUUGUUAUGAAAUUAUGGUAGAAUUGUUGUAUAAUCGUUGCGAUUAGUUUAGGUUUGUUAUGAAAUUUUGUUGUUAUGAAUUUGUGAUAGAAUUGUUACGAUUUGUUACGGUAUAAUUUUUAGAAUUAGUUUAGGUUUUGAUGAAUUAUUGUAGAAUUGUUACGACAUGAUGUAGGUUUUGAUCGCCGAUUUGUUUAUGUAGAUAUGUCUCAGAAUCAGGGAAACGUUGAGUUGAACAAGAAGAAGGAGGGUGACGACAAGAAGAAAGAAAAAUCGCCGAUGACAUGGCACGGAAUCACAUGUGAUGGAUCUUUCAAAAAGAAGGAUUCGAAGGUGCUGGUGUAUAAUCAUUCGAGGUUGAGGAGGAGCGGGAGGACAUGCUAUUUUGGUCCUCAGCCAAAAGCAGGUGCCCUAGGGACUGUCGAGGACAACCCAAUUGACUUGUGUGAUGAGGAAGAUGAUUGAAUGUAAUGUUUUGUAAUAUCUAAUUGUUUUGGAUCUUUUUUUAUGGUACAUUUUGCUUGACAUAUUGGUACUUUGAAUAAAUUUUCGUUUUAAAUAAUUUCAAUUAAAAUCGCGUUUUGAAUAAUUUCGAUUAAAGUUGCGUUUUGAAUAAUUUCGUAUUCGAAUAAAAACAAAUUAAAUCUAACGUGAAUUCAACUAAUUAAAAUUGCGUAAAGAAUAAAUAAAUUUGAAAAGUGAAUAAAUAAGAUAAUUAUUGUUCCAUUCAAAACAAAAUAUAUGUUAUUACAUUGCAUUACAUUACAUUACAUUCCAUAAUGUACCUUCCAACUACAACAAUUGUCUUGUCUCUGAAUGGGGCAAAUUCAAACUUGCUAACCAGCAGGACUCUAGUAUUCGAUUAUCAUCUUGAACGCUGGUAUUCAAGUGUCAAAAGAAUGAGGUGCAUUCCUUGACACUUGAAUACCAGCGUUCAAGACGCUUAUCGAAUUCUGGAGUCCUGCCGAUUAACAAGUUUGAAUUGCCCCAUCCAGAGUAAGACAAUUGUUGCAGUUGGAAUGUGCAUUCCAACUCCAACAAUUGUCUUGCCUUUGAAUGGGGUAAAUUCAAACUUGCCAAACAACAGGACUCAAGCAUUUUGCCUCGCAUUCAUGUUUUUCCUUUGAAAAGAAUAAAUUUUUGUUAGGCUUGCUUUAGAUGAUGGUAUUCAAGUGCCACCGAAAUGAGGUUCAUUCCUUGACACUUAAUACCUUCAUCUAAACGAAAUGGGCGAAAUGCUUGAGUCAUGGUCGUUUGACAAGUUUGAAUUACCCCAUUUCAGAGGUAAGACAAUUGUCGAGCGUUGGACGUUUAUACCGAACGUGUUCCACCCUCCUUGUGUCUCCGGUGUUGACUCCUUGGUAGAAUUCAGUCAGUUCAUCCUUGAGACCUCUUAACGUUACACCAAGGCAUCAAACCUUCAACCUCUGAGGUUCUCCGCCGUUGAAUUGUGCAUGAACGUCGAUCCACCCGGCCAUUGUUUCAAAUCUACACAAUUAGAAAUUAAAACUAAUCAAUGAAAAACUCAUUCAAACACUUGUAGUGAAAAUUUGACAUAAACUCUAAAAAUCCUAAACAAACCCUAAAAUUUUUAUAAAAUUCAAAAAUAAAAUAUAAAUUUAUGCAAUAUAACUUUAUUAUAACAUGUAUUCAUAAUAUAUGUUAAUAGCAUUUCAGAUCUACAACAUAACUAUAUUAUAAAAAAAUAUUCAAACCCUAAAAAAUUUAUAAAAUUCGAAAAAAAAUAUAAAUUCAAGCAAUAUAACUUCAUUAUAACAGAUAUUCAUAAGAUAUGUUAAUAACAUUUCAGAUCUACAACAUAACUAUAUUAUAAACAAAUUUUCAAAAUUUAAUAAUUAAACAACAACUAAAAUUAUAAACAUAUAAACACAUAUACUAACUAAAAUGUAUGACAAUAGCAUAAGUGAUAACUUACUUGUGAUUUAGUGGAAGAAAUUUUGGAUGAUUUGGUAGAAUUUUUUUAGAGAGAGUGAGUGAAAAUUUGAGAGAAAGAUGGUGAAAAUGAUGGCGUGAGUGAGUGUCUGGCUACUAACUUGGAUAUUUCACGAACACAAUGACAGUUAACUGCCGCUGGAAGGCCAGCGGUUGUUAGCUGCCAGUGCAUUGCCUAACGGCAGUUAACCGCCGUUGGGAGUAAAAGCGUCAUUUACUUGUGUCAAUAGAAAGUAUUCUAUGUCAGAAAAGCAAUUUUCAAAAACGAAUGGGAAAGGCACAGAUUGAGAUUUGGAGGAUUGUUAUUUCUACUUACUAUCGAUCUCCCUGAAUGAAGGUAAGAUCUUUAAAUGUAUUUAUUAUGUGAAAAUAAUAGAUUCUAAAAUCUUUUAAAUCAUGAUAGUUUUCUUGAAUGCAAACAUGAAUCAGAUAGUUAUAAUUUACAAUGUGGUUUUCAAAAAUUAAACUACCCACCACUAAAAGAGAGAUGGAGAGACAUGGUAUCUUUACACAAAACUUGAAGACAUAAGAUAUAUGAGUCACACCCUUAUACAAUCAGCAUUUAUCCCAUUAUUUUUUUGGGUCAUGUUAACUUAUGCCCUUAGGGCACAAGUUAAGGAGUUUAAAAUUGAAAUUAAAAAAAAAUUAUAUUGAAAGUAUAACUUUUGAAACAUUUAAGAUAUUGAAUGCACAAGUUUCAAGAAAAACUUUCUACAUUUGACUUCUUAACUUAUGCACAAAGGGCAUAAGUUAACCUUUCCCUUGUUUUUAACAGAUUUUUGACAAACCACUCACACUUAAACAUAAUAGAGAAUUGUUGUUGACACAUUUGGUUAGGCUGAGAAACACGAGUAAAAUACGUUUUUGCCCCUUCGGCAGUUAACUGCCGAGGAAUUAAAAAUAUGGUUGCAGUUAACUGCCGAGGAUAACCUCGGUAGUUUACUGCCGCCGGUUUAAUUUUUCCUCGAUAGUUAACUGCUGUGUCGUCCUAAAGCCAAUAAAUGGCAGAACCUCUUGAGGCAGAACCUGUUACAUGUGUUUUUACACAUUGUUUCAAUGCCAAAUCAUAAAGUCAAUCAAAGAAAAUUACCAACAUAAUUGAAAUUAAAAAUAUGAUACGGAAACGAACAAUUGUCAUAUAAAAAGGUCAUUGAAAUACAAACAAAGUAACAAAUGUCAUUAAAAUACAACAGAACGAACAAAAUGUCAUGAAAAUAUACACCAAGUCCUAAAAAUCUAUCCUAAACAUAAAAUACUACUACUCCUGGUCCUGUUGAUGCUGCUGGUGCCUCCUCCUCGGCCUUUGGCCUCGCUUCCUAGUCAAGAUCGCCGCGAUCUGCUCCCUAACAUGGGUCAUGACCUGAAACCACUGCUGAGGACUCAUGACCUCCUCCUGUCCUAUCUGCGCAUCAGCGUAGGCAACAACGGCACUAACCAUGUCAUAGGUGUUAGGCGAGCUUCACGCCUCAUACAGACAGGUAGGCGGUCCAUCACAGAUCCACUGGAGGUAAGUAUUACAUCAUCAUAAUCCACAUAACAGUUAGACAUGAUUGUUAGUGGAUUAUGUACCAGAGAUUGUUAUUAUGCAUGGAUGUAGAAAAAUCCUCCUUUGAUCUCAGGUGUUUUGUUCUUCAUUUUGGGUUUGUUUUCAAGAAAAAUGAUUUUUUUUUUUUUUUUUAGUUCAGAUUGUCAUGUUUGUCGUUGCGAUCCUGUUUUUGCAUUUGAUGCAUUUUUUUCAUAAUCUAGAUAAAUGCAUGCAUGUGGAUUAUAGUAGAUGUCAUGAUUAUUAAAUUUUAGGUGAUGGUAGAGUUGUGACACAGUUGUUAUUUUAGCUUUUGACGAUCAUGUUUUUGCAUUUGAUGCAUUUUUUCCAUGGUCUAAAUAAAUGCAUGCAUGUGGGUUAUAGUAGAGGUCAUGAUGAUUGAAUUUUAACUCAUGGUAAGGUUUUUACGCAAUUGUUACUUUAGCUUCUGGUACUAUAGUUAAAAAAAAUUGAUGCAUGUGGGUUAUUAUAUUGGUAUAUCAUGAUUGAUGUCAUUAUUUUCGUGAUUCAAUUGUGGGUGGUGUUAAAGAUUUAAUACAACUAAUAUUUUAACACGUGACGUUAAAUUUCCAAGUUGAUGAUAAAGAACCUUGAUUUGUUGUUUGAUUUUGUGAGUAUUCCUAAAGCUGUAACAAUUUUCAUAUUUGGUUUAUUCUUUCUUAUAUCAUUGAGCCGUACGAAAGUUGAUUUGUGUAAAUUUAUUUUGGUCAUAUCAUUGAGGUCCAGAAAGUUGAUGAUACAGAAAUUUGUGCAUUUAUGAUCAGGUUGAUUUGAUAUACAAAAAUUAAUCACACUGAAAUAUGUUAGCUUCUUUCGAUAUCAGAAUGAACAAAGGGAAUAAAAUUAACUGAUGUAUUGUUGUAUUUCUAUAUAGCGCUUUCAAUGUUAAGGGAUUAUGACUACAUUAAAAAUCUCAAAAAGGAUUUGGACAUUUGGAAAAUAGGAUUUAGAGUGCUUGAUCUUGGAUUGUGACUGGUUGUAAUGAGAAUCAACAUAUGGAGCUCAUUAUUUAUGAUGCAAAGGUUAGAGGAGUUAGUUAAGAUUUGUUGUAAUUUCCUUUAUGACUUAUUAUACUUUGUAUAAUUAUCAUGUGUGUAAUAAUGACAUUGCAUUUUCCUUCAAAAAAAAAAAAAAAAGACAUUGCAUUUAAGCCCGUUGACCAUCCCUUUAAGGUUGUUUUUGGUUCUGGUACAAAGGUGCCGAUGUCAUUUAAGGAAAUUCAAGAUGGAAAUUCAAAACUGACGUUUUAUAUGGUAUAGUUAUGUGCUUUAAUUUAUUUAUGUGUUUUCUCCGAUUAUAAGGUUAUUAUAGAUAUACAUUUUUUUUUAAGAAAUCGUCGGGUUUCUUCAUAAUUUGUGUUAGGAUACAUACCGCAUCACUCUUGGGAAAACAACUGAAUUCAAUCCUAACCAGUUUGGGUGACAUUAUGAUAGCUGCACCAAAUAUCCGAAGGCAUCAAAGUCAAAUGGUGCUAGCUAUAGAUGUACAUGCGGGAGUGAUGCUUAAUUUCCAUUUGUUUCAACAAUGUUAAUUGGUCAACGGGGUACAUAUAAUCCACAUGCAUGGAUUUAUAUGGACUUUAUAGGAAGCUGAGGAUAAAUUACAAGUCAUGGUACAUUUUCUUUAGCUUAAAAUCAGUUACGUUACCUUCAUUUUAUAAAUUAUAUAUAACUAUAUUCGCAGACAUUUUAUCCAUGUUAAUGUGCAUUAGACUAAUAUUGCAGUCAUUUCCCUUUUUAGCAUUUUGAAAACGAGGUGUGAAGAAAAAAUCUGAAAGGAAAGCGCAAAACAAUCAACCUAAUUGAUGACCAGACAUAAAGAAAAUAUAAGUGUCGCAGCAUUACCGCCGAAAGAGCAAGCUAUGAAAAAUACUUGGGUGGACAGUGGUUCACUAAAAAAAUCACCGAAGAACUUGCACGUUCGAGUUGUUCCAAAGUAGACCUUUACUGCUGAACUAUUUGACCUUCUACUAUUUUGGCGUAUCGCUUGGAUUGUAAUCCUAAACUAUCUUGACCUUGAGAUGUCAUUUGUUUUGUUCAUUUUGUCUUAUGUAAAUAUUGGUAAAAAUCACUUUUUGGUUAGUCUAUGACACUGACAGACUCUUUUAUAAACCUAAUUAUUAUGUAACAUUAAUCUGCAUGGUUGCUUCAUUGGUUCCAAUUAGUAUCAUGUUAAUUAUAAUGUUGUUUUCCUAAUCUCUUGAACAAAAUAGAACAUGUUCUUUUCCUACAACAAAGCUUUAUAAUGCUUUGGUAAAUAUUUUAGAAUGGUACAUAUAGCUGAAAUUUGUGCAAUAUGCUUGCUUGAUUUUCACAUUUAUGAAGGACAACAAUUUCUUAGAGAGGUGCAGUUAUUUCCCUUAAUUUGCUCAUUUCUCCUUUAUAACAAAGAUUUUCAAAAAUACAAUAUUCGACCCAAGCAGGGGUGGCCCUGAGGGAAGGCUUGAGGGGCGGAAUUCCAGGGCACCACUUUUUUAGGGCACCAAAAUUAUUAUUUUUAUUUAGUAGUUAGUAAUAUAUAUAUAUAUAUAUAUCUUUAAUUCGCUUUGAUUAAUUCAAUUGAAAAAAUAUUUUUAGAUAACUUUGAUUAUAAAUGAAUAUUUUGCAACAAAAAAUGCAAUAAAAAUAUUUAAAUAAUUAAAAGGGUACAAUUUAUAGUUUCGUCCAGGGCACCAAAAAUCUUAAGGCCGGCCCUGAACCCAAGCUCACGGGUUUUUAACUAGUUUCUAAUCAAAUCUAUACAAUUUAGUCAUCUCAUAGUAUCAUUUAUUUAUGUUAAUCAUGGUAAGCUGCUAAUGCACAAUGAAAUCUUACAUGAAAGCUCUCAACGAAGCUUGUUUUUUAUUUUUCUAUUUUCUAUCCAACCAAUUUAUUGUAUUUUACUAUUUCCCACCUAACAAACAAAAUAGGAUCUCUAACUCAAAGCGUGUGUUUCAUUUGUUUAUGAUACUAUGAGAUGCAGCCACGAAGCAAAAAGUAAUUAAACAACUUCAAUGAUUGCAAAACUUUUACUAUUAUUUGACCGAUUCACUCUUUUGUACGUUGUGAAGGAUUCAAACUAACAUUCACACGGUUACUAAUACUUUUGAAGAAAAACAAACAUUUUUUCAAUUGACUAGUUGACUUGACGGUCUUUAAAGUCUUCCUAUCAACCUUAUAUAUAUAGUUACCAAUUCUCAUCUUUACUUCAUCACCACUUCAUUGCUAAAAAACACUUCACUCAAAACUUGCUCCUCUAUAAUUCCUUUGCACUUGUCAUCUAUAAUUCUUAAUCAGCUCGCACAAACUCCAACAACUAUGAAGGUCAGAAUUUGAAUCUUGAAAUUCUUUUUUCUUCUUCAUUUUUCUCAUUUAAUUUACUAUGUUUUCAUGCAUGAAUUAUGUUGUUGUUGUCCCUUUUUUGCAUCCUUUUAUAUUUUAGAAUGGUAGUAAUAAUUGCUGGAUUUUAAUUCUUUGAUUUACUUUUUUUUAACAGAAAGUGUUGUUGAAAGUGGACUUUUAUAAUGAUAGAAUCAAGCAAAAAGUUAUGAAGACAGCAUCUAGCCUUCCAGGUAUAUAUAUAUUGAAUUUCAUAUAUCAUAUAAGUACCACUGCUAUGUAAUGUGGCUAAAUUAUAUGACUAGUAAGUUACAAAUGGAAAUGACCAAAAAUUUUUAGUGGUGGUUAACUACCGUUGACAUACAAUUAGAAAAUCGGCAACUAAACAUAUCAAAUGUUGCGGUAAUCUUUUAUCAUCUUCACUUACGAUACCAUCAUGAUUGAUUUUAAUUUUUGAAGAUAUAAUAUGACUCUAAGUUACAUUAAUUUGAUAAGGUCCAUUUCUAACACAAUCUAACUUUAUUAAAAAAAAAUUAAAUAAGGCAAAAUUAUUAUUAAUAUCGAUGACAGUCACAGUUAUUUUACAACUAUUUCAAAUAGUAUUUGAACUUCGUCAUUCAAGAAUGAAAACUAAUUUAAUUUGACCUUUGUGUAAAUAAAAAGACAAACCAUCUAACACAAAUGAUUCAUUUUUUUCUUAUUAUUUUGCAGGGUUUGAAUCAUUAUCAAUAGACUCGAAAGAGAAGAAAUUGACAGUAUCUGGGGAUAUUGAUCCAGUAAAGGUAGUGUGCAAGCUAAGAAAGUUGUGUCAAACUGAAAUAGUAUCGAUUGGACCUCUAAAAGAUGAGAAGAAGGAUUCAACAAAUACAAAUGAAUUUAUUCCACUUCAACACUUUGGAACCUAUCCAUUUUAUUAUCAGAUGACCCCACCACAAUAUUUUCAAAAUUACUACUACGUUUGAUGUGCAUAAUAAGAAAAGAAUCUUUUAUUGAGUUUGAUAAAAUACAUAUUGUGUUUUCCUUGAAUUUUAUUUCUACUUUAUAUGACCUAGAAUUGGAUUAUGCUUGUCUUCCUUCCAAAUCAUGAUAUUAAUAAGAUAAAAUAUAUGUAGUGUUUGAAACAUGUAAGUCCAAGCGGUGCUUCAAUUUUUUACUAAUGAGUAAUUUGGUCAAUACAUCAACUAUAUUUUCUAAAGUAUGAACUUUUUCAUGUAAUAUCUAUCAAGGUGUAAGUAAAUCUCUAAUGUGUGAUACCUCACAUCAAUAUGUUUGGUUUGGGUAUCCAUACACCUCAAUGUUUGCCAAAUAAAUGGCACAUUGACUUUCCCUAAAAAAAAAAUGGCACAUUGACUAUCACAUUACAAUCAAACUCCACAUUGUUUAAUAACACCCAAUUUUCUCGCCCUUUGCCUCGCUUGUAUUUAUAUACAAGUUAUACUCAACAUAAAUGAUAAACCAUUUACAAUAUCAUUAAUUAAUUUUAACAAAAGAAUUUAAAAAAAUAUCAUUUGAAAAAUAUAAAGCAUGUAUCUAAUUGUGUCAUACAUGUCACACAUCCAUAACUUAAAUGGACUAAAUAGAAAAGGGUAUGCUCCAUUUACCUAAUGCUCAAUUUAGGUUAUAGAUGUGUGACAUGUGGCAAAAAAAAUCUUAACAUUGAGAUGUAUAAUAAAAAACAAAUAUUUAUUUAAUAAAAAAAAGUAACAAAACAAAACGUGUCCUUCUGCUCCCCUUCCUCUCAUUGCCAUAAACCUCCACCUGCUGCCGUUCGUCGCCGUUGAUCACCUUAUUAACAACAUCUCCCCUCUUCCUCUCAUCGUCGUCAUGUUGCCGUCGUUUCAAACCAUUUCUGCUGAUGUUAUUUAUUCUCAAAACUACAAUUCUUUGUUGUUUCAAUUCUGAUUUGGUUUCUUUGAUGGUUUUUAGGUUGACAGUUGGAUUAUUUAAGGAGAUAAUCAUCCAACGAAAUAUGUACCAUGACAUGCUUUUAAGCUAAAGAAAUCCGUCACUAAUUUCCAUCGCUAAUUUUGCUUUUUCUAGUAGAUGACUUAGAGAUUUUUAUAAAGCUUUCAAUAAUGAGCAAAGUUGCUGGUAUAUAUAGCAAACCAAUGUGAAGGAAAAACAUGCCACAAGCGAUCAAUACAUAUUACUUUCAAGCAACGUGCUACCAAUUUUGUGAUAAGAGUAAACAUUAACAGUAGCAAGUCUAGCAAGUUCUUCAUUACUGCAAAUAAAUUUCCAAUCAAAAUCAAGGUCAGAAGGCCUGUACUUUCGAAGAUCAAGUUAUUGACCACAAAUGCAAGUUCAUCAAUGCCGCAAUAGCUUAAACGAAGCUUUUUCAUGACUGUAGCUGCCAAGGGUCCAAGUUCAACUGCAUUUCUGCAUCCAAUCCCAUGAUGCUUCUCCAAGUUAACAAAAUUUUCCUUAAUUCCGCAGCCCACGAAGGUAUAAUUUGGUUGACAAAGAAAAUUAAGCAGAGAAAGGGGAACAUCCUUAUGCCGACAAUGUAACUCAAUAAUAAGACAUGAAUGUCCAUCACAAAGUUGAAGAGUUCCCGGUUUGGUCUGGGAAUUGGUUUCAUCAUGAUCAUUUACCGAUAAUUUUACGCCACUCGGUAUCAAAUCCGAUCACCUUGGUUACAUAAUUGUCUGUAGGGUGUAAGAAAGACGACAUAUGUUUGUCAAUCACUUUCUUUUGAUUUGUAAUAGUGGUUUUGAUUUCCAUUCCAUUUAGCUCAAACGAUAGAACUUUGGUGUCAUACAUGAUGUUCUCUGCUUCACAAAAUAGGGAUGCCACGGUUAUUUAUAGGGAUAAGCGUGUGUGACAUUUGAUCAGUAGUAUAAUUCCAAAAACACCUUCCAAACCAUUAAAACACCUCUCCAGAUAACCAUCAAACCUACCAAAAACCCACGUAACCGCACCUUAAACAAACCACACCAGCUAACAUCCGUGUAUUUGAAAACCAAGAAAACCCACAAAAAGCAUAACCACCACAAGCACCACCACCAAAACUACCAUUAACCACCAGUAAUCCUCACCAAAAACCAGCAUCAGCAAUCACGAAAACCAAUAAACCCCAUUGACCCUCUCCUCAGCCACCACCUCACACCCCUAGCCACCACACAACCACCACGAAAACAGCUACGACGUUUUCGAUGCUCUCUAUCACCACUUCAUCACCACCAACAAAUAAAUCCACCACCACACCGCAGAUCCACCACCACACCACAACAAGUCAGACUCUUCUCUCCACCGAUCCACCAAAACAGCAUAGUCGACACCACUGCAAAACCACCACGUCAUCAUCACCUUCACCUUCUAUCAUCGUCAAAAUCAUGCCAUACUCCACCACAACACACAAACAGAAAAUAAAACACGCAACAAUUCUAAACGAAAAAGUCUCUGCCAUUUCGAAUAGGAACAAAAACAACCAAAACACACAAGACCAUCGGAGAACAGAUCUGGCGUUUAGAGGUGGUGCGGAGGACUGGUGUCACUCGUCGCACCACCACCCUGAGCGGCUACAUCUUGCAAAUUGAGGGUUUGGAUUUGGGUGGAAGAAGGUGUAAGCGGCGACUGUUUGUUAGAGAGAUGCGAGAUGUGAGAGCUAGGUUUUUUAUAAUUUGGGACGGAGGGAGUAGUGUUUUAAGAUUAUACUCCCUUCGUCCCUAUAUAUAAUCCCAUUUUGCUUUUUUCACAUUUCUUAAGAAAAAUUGUUAGUGUAAUUAAUGUGUCUAUUUUGCGUGUUAAUAUUACCAAAUUGUAUUUUGUUUGUAUGUGUAUUAAAUUUGACUUUUCAUAUUUCAAGAUAAGUUAGUAGUAUAUUAAUUAGGGGUAUGUUUAGAAAAAAAAUAAUAAAUGCAUCUAGUAAUUUGAAAAAGGGUUUACAUUUAAGGACAAAUUUUUAAUCAAAUAGAUGUUUACAUAUACGGACGAAGGGAGUAUAACGGUAAAAAUGUAAAUUAAUUUUAGAGUAAAUUACACUCAUCUCCCUUCAAAGAUGUUUCAAUUACACUCCUCACUCCUCUUAUGUUAAAAUAUCCACUCGUCUUUCUUGAAAAGUAAAAUGUAUAUUCUUCUCCCUUACAAGAUGCCUGAAUUACCACCAGCACCCUUAAUAAUUAAAUAUGCAUUACACUUUAAUCUAUUUUAACAUAAAUAAAUAUUUUUAUGAUAUAUAUUAAUUUUGAACCACCAUUAAAGAAAAAUUAAUUCAUUUCUUUAUAAUUUAAAUGUCAAUGAUAAUUAAAUUUAAAUAUUUUUCUAUUGAUUUUAUAAUUUAGAGUAUAAAAUUAACUUUUAAAUAACCAUGCUUUAUUUACUUUAGUAAUUUUUCACAUAUUUUAAUUUUAUUUUGAGUUGUUUCAUAUUUUAUAAUAAGGUUUAAAACUACAUGUUAAUGAAAUUAUGAAUAAAAAAUAUCGUAAAAUAUGCAUUCAAUUUUUUAUUAUAUUAAAAUAAACCCGCAAUACUAUUUUUUUUCGAAGUGUGUUGUUUAUUUUUUUUUGCUAGAUUAUAUUAAAAUAAAAUAAAAAAAUUAAUUGAGUAAAGUGUAGAUUUUAACAUAAGAGGGGAGGAGAAUGUAAUUCAAGCUUCUCUUAGGGGAUGGGAGUGAAAAGUUUUCUAAUAUAUUAUACUAUUUGAUAUCCACUAAUCAUGAACAAGCACCCGCAUUUUCUUGAGCCCGUUCUCACAUGCUUCGGUUUUUUUUUCCGGCACUUUGUAAGCUCCACUCCUUUCACACACUAGGCGGAACAUUGGAUUGAUCAAGCUUGAUUUUUGUGUAACAAUUGUAAAUCCCGCCUUGUUUGUUUGACGACGCGCCCACUCAAGCAAUUCAUCUCUAUCUUUCAACUUAACGUCGUCUGAAAAAAAACCUAGCCGUGUCGACCUCAUGUGGGCUUGAAGUGGGAGGACACCGGAGCCGCCAACAUACUUUGAAGCUUCAACAUGGACGAAAGCUCCAUCAAUGUUUGGUUUCGCUUCAACCUUAGGCGGUUUGACAUCUCCGGAAAUUUCGACAAAAUUUUGUUUUGUCUCUCCCGGAACAUCUUCCGCGUUCUCUACCAUUACUACAAUUAUACAACACAUAAAUAUGAAUUAACAACGAACUAAUACAUAAACAUCAAUGCCAUAAAAAAUAUUGAAUUUUGAGAUUGAAUGGAGGUGGAAAUGAAGUUGAUGAAGAAAAUAGUAUGUAGAGGGAGCAAGUGGUUGUUUCAGUUAACUGCCGAGGGGGCAAAAUCGUAUUUUCCUGAUAUGGCACGACCAUGUCAAAUAUGGGAAUAGCAAUUCUCUUUCUCACCUAACAACGUACAAGCUCUAACUCUAAGCGCGUGUUUCAUUUAUUUAUGAUACUAUGAGAUGCUGCCACGAAGCAAAAAGUAAACAACUUUUAAUCAAAAACCCUUCAAUGAUUGCAAAACUUUUACUAUUAUUAUUUGACUGAUUCCCUCUUUUGUUGUGUAGGAACUUUCUUGAUGAUUCAAAACCAACGUUCACACGGUUAUUAAAAAAUGAUAUGCUACCAAAAUAUACUUUUCAAGAAAAAACAAUAUUUUUUCAAUUGACUAGUUGACUUGAUGAUCUUUUCAAGUCUUCCUAUCUACCUUAUAUAAAUAGACCAAUUCUCAUCCUUACUACAUCACCACUUCAUUGCUAGAAAAAUCACUUCACUCAAAAUUUCAUCAACUUACUCCUAUUCUUAUUCCUUUGCAUUUGUCAUCGAUAAUUCUUAGUUAGCUCGCACGAACUUCAACAAUUAUGAAGGUCAGAAUUUGAAUUGUGAAAUCCAUUUUUCUUCUUCACUUUUCUCAUUUAAUUUAUUAUAUUUUCAUGCAUGAAUAAUGUUGUUGUUGUCCCUUUUUUGCUGGUAUGUCCUUUCAUAUUUUAGAAUGGAAGUAAUUAAUUGCUGGGUUUUAAUUCUUUAAUUUACUUUUUAACAGAAAGUAGUGUUGAAGGUGGACUUUUAUAAUGAUAGAAUCAAGCAAAAAGUUAUGAAGACAGUAUCUAGCCUUUCAGGUACAUAUUAAAUUUAAUAUUAUAAGUACUACUACUGUUUAAUGUGGCUAAAUUACAUGACUUAUAAGUUGUAUGCAUGAAUAAGACACUUAUUUUAAUAUCCUGAAAUAAACUUUAGAUACUAUUUAUCGGAUUCAAGAGUUUGGUAGAAACUAUUUGGGGUUGGCCUAGUGGUUGGUUUGAGAUCUUGGAGUUUUCUCCUCCAAAGAUUUCAGGUUUGAUUUCCUCUGGUGUCAAUUUUGGUGGGCUAAGUCCAUACAGAGCUUGCUCUGUCUUUAAAUGGGUCCUCCGCAAAUGAUUCGUGAGAUUAUUCCCCUCGGAUUAGUCGAUUCUUGGAUCGGAUACUGAGUUUUCAAAAACAAAAGAAAAAGAGUUUGGUAGAGAAAUUCACACAACAAGCGUGGAUAAGAGAGAUAUAGUGGGAUUGAUUGUGCAACUAAACAUAUCAAAUGUUCUCGUAAUCUUUCACCAUCUCCACUUACAAUACCAUUUUGAUUGAUUUUAAUUUUUGAAGACAUAAGAUGGCUCUAACUUAAAUUAAUUUGAUAAGGUCUAUUAAUAUUGCAAUCUAACUUUAUUUUUAAAAAAAAAAAACUUAAAUAGUUAUUUUACAACUAUUUCAAAUAGUAUUGAACUCCGUUGUUUGAGAAUGAAAUCUAAUUUUAUUUUAUUUUUGUCUAAAUAAAAAGACAAACCAUAUAACAUGAAAGAUUCAUUUUUAUUUUUAUUUUGCAGGGGUUGAAUCAAUAUCAAUAGACUCGAAAGAGAAGAAAUUAACAUUAUCGGGGGAUAUCGAUCCAAUAAAGGCAGUAUGCGAGUUAAGAAAGUUGUGUCAAACUGAAGUAGUUUCGAUUGGACCUCUAAAAGAGGAGAAGAAAGAGUCAACAAUCACACAUGAAGUUAUUCCACUUCAAUACUUUCCAACCUAUCCAUUUUAUUAUCAGAUGACCCCAUCACAAUAUUUUUGAGAUUACUACUAUGUUUGAUGUGCAUAGUAAAAAAAGAAUCCCAAUGGCUAUGCUAGUAUAUUAGUAUAUUUGAUAAACUUUUUUUUAUUUGAAUAUCUGCUAAAUU
rnacentral:lncRNA from 1 species